CUNUCCCAAAAUUCUUGUCUUACAUUUGUUUAGAUACGGAUGUAUCUAACACUAAAAUAUAACUAGAUACAUCCGUAUUUAGACAAAUUUAAGACAAGAAUUUUGGGACGG
rnacentral:pre_miRNA from 1 species